UACGUAGGGUGCGAGCGUUAAUCGGAAUUACUGGGCGUAAAGCGUGCGCAGGCGGUUCGUUGUGUCGGUGGUGAAAUCCCCGGGCUUAACCUGGGAAUGGCCAUGGAAACUGGCGAACUGGAGUGUGGCAGAGGGGGUGGAAUUCCGCGUGUAGCAGUGAAAUGCGUAGAGAUGCGGAGGAACACCGAUGGCGAAGGCAGCCCCCUGGGCUAACACUGACGCUCAGGCACGAAAGCGUGGGAGCAAACAGG
rnacentral:rRNA from 1 species